rnacentral:pre_miRNA from 1 species
AACAAAAUAUUCGGACCGUCGGUCUACCGAGCAAUAUCUAGCGCUCGGUGGAAGAUCUUCCCUUCGUCGUUAAAC